rnacentral:rRNA from 1 species
UGGGKGGCGCCGCUGGGAKGGUUUYUCCCACAMCSGGGAAUGARCACCUGCCCCARMUUCYUMGGGGAGGCAUCRUUAGGWAUUYUUCGCAAAGGAARAAAUCUGGACGAACMACGCCGYGGAKUGAAGAAGUUUUUUGGAAURGAAAAGUUCUGUUGUUAGGAAAGAACAAKUCCCUUUGAAUAGGGCGGUACUUGACGGUACCUAACCAGAAAGCCAGGGCUAACUACGUGCCAGCAGCCGCGGUAAUACGUAGGUGGCAAGCGUUGUCCGGAAUUAUUGGGCGUAAAGGGCUCGCAGGCGGUUUCUUAAGUCUGAUGUGAAAGCCCCCGGCUCAACCGGGGAGGGUCAUUGGAAACUGGGGAACUUGAGUGCAGAAGAGGAGAGUGGAAUUCCACGUGUAGCGGUGAAAUGCGUAGAGAUGUGGAGGAACACCAGUGGCGAAGGCGACUCUCUGGUCUGUAACUGACGCUGAGGAGCGAAAGCGUGGGGAGCGAACAGGAUUAGAUACCCUGGUAGUCCACGCCGUAAACGAUGAGUGCUAAGUGUUAGGGGGUUUCCGCCCCUUAGUGCUGCAGCUAACGCAUUAAGCACUCCGCCUGGGGAGUACGGUCGCAAGACUGAAACUCAAAGGAAUUGACGGGGGCCCGCACAAGCGGUGGAGCAUGUGGUUUAAUUYGAAGCAACGCGAAGAACCUUACCAGGUCUUGACAUCCUCUGACAAUCCUAGAGAUAGGACGUCCCCUUCGGGGGCAGAGUGACAGGUGGUGCAUGGUUGUCGUCAGCUCGUGUCGUGAGAUGUUGGGUUAAGUCCCGCAACGAGCGCAACCCUUGAUCUUAGU